rnacentral:rRNA from 1 species
UGAGGAAUAUUGGUCAAUGGGCGCAAGCCUGAACCAGCCAUCCCGCGUGCAGGAAGACGGCCCUAUGGGUUGUAAACUGCUUUUCCAGGGGGAGAAUUUUUCUGUCGUGACAGGAAUUGACGGUACCCUGGGAAUAAGCAUCGGCUAACUCCGUGCCAGCAGCCGCGGUAAUACGGAGGAUGCGAGCGUUAUCCGGAUUUAUUGAGUUUAAAGGGUGCGUAGGCGGAUUGAUAAGUCAGUGGCGAAAACCUGCAGCUUAACUGUAGACUUGCCGUUGAUACUGUCAGUCUUGAGUGUGGUCAAGGUAGGCGGAAUGUGUAAUGUAGCGGUGAAAUGCUUAGAUAUUACACAGAACACCGAUUGCGAAGGCAGCUUACUGGGCCAUUACUGACGCUGAGGCACGAAAGCGUGGGGAUCGAACAG